rnacentral:rRNA from 1 species
UACGUAGGUGGCGAGCGUUGUCCGGAUUUACUGGGCGUAAAGAGCGCGCAGGCGGUCGUACAAGUCGCGUGUGAAAGCCCCCCGGCUCAACUGGGGGAGGGUCACGCGAUACUGUUCGACUCGAAGGCAGGAGAGGGUAGUGGAAUUCCCCGGUGUAGUGGUGAAAUGCGUAGAUAAUCGGGAGGAACACCAGCGGCGAAGGCGGCGACCUGGACAGUCACUGACACUCAA